rnacentral:rRNA from 1 species
AUUGAACGCUAGCGGGAUGCCUUACACAUGCAAGUCGAACGGAGUGCCGUACGCGUGCUUUUUGUAUCGUUCCGUGCCCAUUAGCGGGGGAUAACUACGCCUCAGCGUAGCUAUUACCGCAUCCUAUUGGCGCCGCCGAUAUCGGAGUAGCUUGUUGGUGGGGUAACGGCUCACCAAGACGAAGAUCCGUAGCUGGUUUGAGAGGACGACCAGCCACACUGGGACUUAGACACGGCCCAGACUCCUACGGGAGGCAGCAGUGGGGAAUUUUGGACAAUGGGGGAAACCCUGAUCCAGCCAUCCCGCGUGUGCGAUGAAGGCCUUCGGGUUGUAAAGCACUUUUGGCAGGAAAGCGGUACCUGAAGAAUAAGCACCGGCUAACUACGUGCCAGCAGCCGCGGUAAUAG